rnacentral:rRNA from 1 species
AUUGAACGCUGGCGGCAGGCCUAAUACAUGCAAGUAGAACGAGUGGCGGACGGGUGAGUAAUGUAUGGGAAACUGCCUGAUGGAGGGGGAUAAUUACUGGAAACGGUAGCUAAUACGGCUUACCAUCAGAUGGGCCCAGACGGGAUUGGCUUUUUGGUGGGGUAACGGCUCACCAGGGCGACGAUCCCUAGCCGGUCUGAGAGGAUAACCAGCAACCCUGGACCUGGACCACGGUCCAGACUCCUACGGGGGGCAGAGGUGGGAAAUAUUGCACAAGGGGCGCAGGCCUGAUGCAGACAUGCGGCGUAUAUAAAGAAGGCCUUCGGGUUGUAAUGUACUUUCAGCGGGGAGGCGUUACCCGCAGAGGAAGCACCGGCUAACUCCGUGCCAGCAGCCGCGGUAAUAC